UUUCGCUCGCUUUACUGCGCUGACGUCAUCAGACGGGAGAGUUUGCUGUCUUGGUUGCAGUUUUCAGCACAAGAAGCCGGUUGACUGGGAACGGUGGUGAAAUACACUCGCUGAGCACUUUAUUAGGAACACCUGUACAGCUACUUGAAAUCUAUAAAAUCAUGCAGAUACGGGUGAGGAGCUUCGGUUAAUGUUCACAUCAACCAUCAGAAUGGGGAAAAAAUCUGAUCUCAGUGAUUACGACCGUGGCAUGAUUGUUGGUGCCAGACAAGGUGGCUUGAGUAUUUCUGUAACUGCUAAGCUCCUGGGAUUUUCACGCACAACAGUCUCUAGAGUUUACUCAGAAUGGUGCCAAGAACAAAAAACGUCUAGUAAGCGGCAGUUCUGUGGACGGAAACGCCUUGUUGAUGAGAGAGGUCAGCGGAGGCUGGACAAACUGGUUCGAGCUGACAGAACAGCUACGGUAGCUCAGAUAACCACUCUGUACAAUUGUGGUGCGCAGAAAAGCAUCUCAGAAUUCACAACACGUCGAACCUUGAGGUUGAUGGGCUACAACAAGAGAAGACCACAUACGGUUCCUCUUCUGUCAGGGAACAAAAAGAAAGCUGAGGCCGAGGGUGAGACAGAGGGUGAGGCCGAGGUGGACACAGGCUCACCAAAACAGGACAGUUGAAGACUGGAAAAACGUAACCUUGUCUGAUUAAUCUUGAUUGUUGCUGAGGCGCACAGUUGGUAGGGUCAGAAUUUGAACAGCAUGAAUCCAUGGACCCAACCUGCUUUGUGUCAAUAGUCACUGAACAUGUGCAUCCCUCAAUGGCCACAAUUUGCCCAUCUUAUAAUGGUUACUUCCAGCAUGAUAAUGUCACCAUAUCACAAAGUAAAAGUGGUCUCAAUCUGGUUUCAUGAACAUGACAAUGAGUUCACUGUUCUUCAGUGGCCUUCCCAGUCACUGGAUCAGAAUCCAUCCUUUGGGAUGUGGUAGAACGGGAGAUUCGCAGCAUAAAUUGGAAGUUGACAAAUCUGCACAAAUUGCGUGAUGUCAACAUGGACCAGAAUCUCAAAGGAAUGUUUCCAACAUCUUGUGGAAUCAAUGCCAUGAAGAAUUGAGGCUGUUUUGAGAGCAAAAGGAGACCCUAACCAGUAUUAGUAUAAUGUUCCUAAUAAAGUGCUCAGUGAGUGCUCAUGGGACCAAGUGUUGCAUUCUGGCAGAGAGAUCCCAACCCCUACAGUAAUCAUGUUUUGAUGGAAGACAUCGUAUUUUAGGAAGUUACUCCAGACAACCGUCUCAUUUCCAGACAACUCUUGACCAAAACAAGCAGAUCUCCUUACUGGAGAAGUUUCAGCCUGCUCAAAUGGCACCGAAAGCUUAGGGGGUUACAGCCUCCUGAGUGUCAGAACUCGCACCGUGUAUGCCCGGUCUUACUCGUGAUUUGUGUGAAAGUGAAUGAAAAUCGUUGUUUUGGCGCCUCUAGUGUUAAUUUCACCAGAAAACUGUCAUGAUACGUACAACAAGACAAGCCACGUAAAUGUUUUUGACAAAAAUGUAGGUAUAGAAAUUGUAUUCUGACACCAUGUUGCAGGAUCCUGCAUCUCACAAUGCAAUGUGCUUGAGUGUGAUAAGUGAACCAGAAGUAGCUAAAUAUCAGCCACAAUUUAGUUCACACAAAAAUGUAAGUUUUGUUAUUUACUUUUUAUGUUUUCCAAACCCAUAUGACCUUUAUCAUACAUAUAAAAUUGGCAUACAAUGAAAGUAAAGGGUUACUGGGGCUAAAAUUAUGCCUAGCAUCUUUUGUGUUCCACGGAUGGGUUUGGAACAACAUGAGGGUGAGUAAAUGACAGAAUUGUCUUGACUGAAAGAGUUAAGGUGUUUAUACAAUAUUUGGUUAAAGUGAAUGACGUUUUAUUUGCGAGAUAAGUGGACACCACUUGCGACACAUUGCUUGAAAUGUUUGUUGCAUAAUACAUUCUGUUUCGCAUACUAUUUUAAAAAUGUAUUACUAGGUAGUGUGCAUACUAAUUGUAUACAGUACACAACACUGUGCUCUGUUGUUCACAGCACAUAUCAGCUUUUGUAGAAGGUCAUCAUAAUAUAUGCAUAAUUUUUAUAAUAUGCAGAGUAUACAUACUAAAUACUGCAGAAAUAGGACUAGCAUGGUAGUAUCAAUGACUGGUGCAUCUAAACAUUAAACCAAUUAAUGGCUUUAUUAUUUCAUCACAUUGCCAGUUUGGUGGUGAGUUUAAAUGUUCAAGUAAGUGGCAUUCCUUAGGACCAAAUCGAUUUUGUGAUUUGUCAAAGGUAAAAAUGUCUUGCAUGUGUUGUUCUUUGUGAAUAUUACUGAUUGCAUUUGGUAUGAAGCCUAUAAUGUACUUUGUAUGCAAUGCUUUAGUGAAACUAUAGAAUCAUUUGGUUGUUGCAUUUAUAAUUUUGCUGUGAUGUUGUGAAAUAAAACAUUGCUUUUGAAUAUUA